CUGCAGCUCAAGUGGUGAUCAUUAUUAUUGGGCCUAAAACGUCCGUAGCCGGUUUAGUAAAUGCCUGGGUAAAUCGUGUAGCUUAACUAUACGACUUCCGGGUAGACUGCUAAGCUUGAGAUCGGGAGAGGCUAGAGGUACUCCUGGGGUAGAGGUGAAAUUCUGUAAUCCUAGGGGGACCACCAGUGGCGAAGGCGUCUAGCUAGAACGAGUCUGACGGUGAGGGACGAAGCCCUGGGGCGCCAACCGGAUUAGAUACCCGAGUAGUCC
rnacentral:rRNA from 1 species